GACGAACGCUGGCGGCGUGCUUAACACAUGCAAGUCGAGCGAUGAAGUUUUUUCGGAAAUGGACUAGCGGCGAACGGGUGAGGAACACGUGAAGAAUCUGACCUCCACUUUGGGACAACACAGGGAAACCUGUGCUAAUACCGAAUCUUGACACAUAAGUGGCAUCACUGAGUUUUGUAAGAAUUUCGGUGGAGGAUGACUUCGCGGCCUAUCAGCUAGUUGGUGAGGUAACGGCUCGCCAAGGAAACGACGGGUAGCCGGCCUGAGAGGGCGACCGGCCACACUGGGACUGAGACACGGCCCAGACUCCUACGGGAGGCAGCGGUGGGGAAUAUUGGGCAAUGGAGGAAACGCUGACCCAGCGACGCCGCGUGCGGGAUGAAGGCCUUCCGGUUGUAAACCGCUUUCAGUAGGGAAGAAGCGAAAGUGGCGGUACCUACAAAAGAAGCACCGGCUAACUAUGUGCCAGCCGCCGCAGUAA
rnacentral:rRNA from 1 species